rnacentral:rRNA from 1 species
ACACAUGCAAGUCGAACGGUAACAGGAAGAAUCUUGCUUCUUUGCUGACGAGUGGCGGACGGGUGAGUAAUGUCUGGGAAACUGCCUGAUGGAGGGGGAUGACUACUGGAAACGGUAGCUAAUACCGCAUAAUGUCGCAAGACCAAAGAGGGGGACCUUCGGGCCUCUUGCCAUCGGAUGUGCCCAGAUGGGAUUAGCUAGUAGGUGGGGUAACGGCUCACCUAGGCGACGAUCCCUAGCUGGUCUGAGAGGAUGACCAGCCACACUGGAACUGAGACACGGUCCAGACUCCUACGGGAGGCAGCAGUGGGGAAUAUUGCACAAUGGGCGCAAGCCUGAUGCAGCCAUGCCGCGUGUAUGAAGAAGGCCUUCGGGUUGUAAAGUACUUUCAGCGGGGAGGAAGGGAGUAAAGUUAAUACCUUUGCUCAUUGACGUUACCCGCAGAAGAAGCACCGGCUAACUCCGUGCCAGCAGCCGCGGUUAUACGGAGGGUGCAAGCGUUAAUCGGAAUUACUGGGCGUAAAGCGCACGCAGGCGGUUUGUUAAGUCAGAUGUGAAAUCCCCGGGCUCAACCUGGGAACUGCAUCUGAUACUGGCAAGCUUGAGUCUCGUAGAGGGGGGUAGAAUUCCAGGUGUAGCGGUGAAAUGCGUAGAGAUCUGGAGGAAUACCGGUGGCGAAGGCGGCCCCCUGGACGAAGACUGACGCUCAGGUGCGAAAGCGUGGGGAGCAAACAGGAUUAGAUACCCUGGUAGUCCACGCCGUAAACGAUGUCGACUUGGAGGUUGUGCCCUUGAGGCGUGGCUUCCGGAGCUAACGCGUUAAGUCGACCGCCUGGGGAGUACGGCCGCAAGGUUAAAACUCAAAUGAAUUGACGGGGGCCCGCACAAGCGGUGGAGCAUGUGGUUUAAUUCGAUGCAACGCGAAGAACCUUACCUGGUCUUGACAUCCACAGAACUUUCCAGAGAUGGAUUGGUGCCUUCGGGAACUGUGAGACAGGUGCUGCAUGGCUGUCGUCAGCUCGUGUUGUGAAAUGUUGGGUUAAGUCCCGCAACGAGCGCAACCCUUAUCCUUUGUUGCCAGCGGUCCGGCCGGGAACUCAAAGGAGACUGCCAGUGAUAAACUGGAGGAAGGUGGGGAUGACGUCAAGUCAUCAUGGCCCUUACGACCAGGGCUACACACGUGCUACAAUGGCGCAUACAAAGAGAAGCGACCUCGCGAGAGCAAGCGGACCUCAUAAAGUGCGUCGUAGUCCGGAUUGGAGUCUGCAACUCGACUCCAUGAAGUCGGAAUCGCUAGUAAUCGUGGAUCAGAAUGCCACGGUGAAUACGUUCCCGGGCCUUGUACACACCGCCCGUCACACCAUGGGAGUGGGUUGCAAAAGAAGUAGGUAGCUUAACCUUCGGGAGGGCGCUUACCACUUUGUGAUUCAUGACUGGGGUGAAGUC